rnacentral:rRNA from 1 species
UGGGGAAUAUUGCACAAUGGGCGCAAGCCUGAUGCAGCCAUGCCGCGUGUGUGAAGAAGGCCUUAGGGUUGUAAAGCACUUUCAGCGAGGAGGAAAGGUUAAAGAUUAAUACUCUUUAGCUGUGACGUUACUUGCAGAAGAAGCACCGGCUAACUCCGUGCCAGCAGCCGCGGUAAUACGGAGGGUGCGAGCGUUAAUCGGAAUUACUGGGCGUAAAGCGUGCGUAGGCGGCUUGUUAAGUUGGAUGUGAAAGCCCCGGGCUCAACCUGGGAACUGCACCCAAAACUGGCAAGCUAGAGUGCGGAAGAGGAGUGUGGAAUUUCCUGUGUAGCGGUGAAAUGCGUAGAUAUAGGAAGGAACACCAGUGGCGAAGGCGACACUCUGGUCUGACACUGACGCUGAGGUACGAAAGCGUGGGGAGCAAACAGG